UAUCAGCUGGACCGACUGGGGAUGGAGUCGCCAUUCGCCAGAGACUGGACGGAACCGUGACAGCUCGUCGGCUACCAGGUUCCGCUCUCCUGGAAUGUAAAUAGCACGAAGGGACCUCAGGUGCUUCUGACUCCAUAAUAGUGGCGUACGAGUUGCGACUCUUCAGCAACUCGAGGCAAUUGAUAUGCAUAAGGCCCUGGGGUCCUGUCCAGGAACCCGCGGCUGCAUGGCUCCGCAACCCAUGGCAGAGGCAUCUGUGGAGACAACAACAUGCCUGGAGAGGGACUCUGCCUGUAAAACGCUGAGGUUCGUCCACGGGAAGAAGGUCUGACGGCAGGUCGGAGUUACUGGAACUCUGAGCGUACCGUGAUGCCAUGCCCACCUCGGGACUCGAUCGCGAAGCCACAGCUGAAGCGGUCACAUAUGAAGAAAUCCGAGUGGCGUAGCCGCGCGAAGACUACAAGACAGCUGUGGUAAGAUUUCAUAUUUCAAUAGAAAAAAAUAACUUGCAUCAAUUAACUGUGUCAGUGUUUUCAUAUUUUGCUCAUUGUGAAUGGUAUAGUAGGUAGUCAACCACGUUUAAACCAUAUCCGUACUGGCUGGGCUGGUUCAACACGGAAUGGUAAAGCAACAAGAAAGAUGAACACGUUAGCCUUGAGGGGAGGCACAACAGUCAAAGAAAGCGUAUGGCGAAUUCUCAGCUUCCUCCUUUCAAAUGACAUGGCCCGUCAGAUUAACUGGAGGGGAAUCAAUGGAAAAGUUGCAUUUAAAGACACCUCUCUAAAAACUGUAAUCAAUGCUGCUGUCAGAAGAAACCGGUUAACUGCCACUGCAACAGAUCAAGAGAUUGAAAAUUGGAUCAAAAGAUGGCUGCAGCUUGCCGCAGACAGGGAUGGAGGCCGUCGGGCCUGACA